GCGGUGCGUGCGGGUACAAGGAUGUUAACAAGGCCCCCUUCAACAGCAUGGGCGCGUGCGGCAACCUCCCCAUCUUCAAGGACGGCCUCGGCUGCGGCUCAUGCUUUGAGAUCAAGUGCGACAAGCCGGCCGAGUGCUCCGGUGAGGCCGUGGUGGUGCACAUCACGGACAUGAACUACGAGCAAAUUGCCGCCUACCACUUCGACCUGGCCGGCACCGCAUUUGGCGCCAUGGCCAAGAAGGGCGAGGAGGAGAAGCUGCGCAAGGCGGGCAUCAUCGACAUGCAGUUCCGCCGGGUCAAGUGCAAGUAUGGCGAAAAGGUCACCUUCCACGUGGAGAAGGGGAGCAACCCCAACUACCUGGCACUGCUGGUCAAGUAUGUCGAUGGCGACGGCGACGUUGUGGGGGUGGACAUCAAGGAGAAGGGUGGCGAGGCGUACCAGCCCCUCAAGCACUCCUGGGGCGCUAUUUGGAGGAAGGACAGCGACAAGCCCAUCAAGUUUCCCGUCACUAUCCAAAUCACCACUGAGGGAGGCACCAAGACCGCCUACGAAGAUGUCAUCCCUGAAGGUUGGAAGGCCGACACCACCUACACUGCCAAAUAAGCUGUCCAACAGACCUACCGCUGCUCUUGGAUGGGUUGGAUUGGAUCCCAACUUCCCAAGCAAUGCAUUACGCUUAUGCAUGCAUUGAUCUAUCUAUUUUUUACUGUUGUUGCUGCGACGAUGACGACGCCCUCCUUCAUCCUCUCCAUACGUAGCUAGAGCAAGGUUUCCUUCAUCCUCUCCAUAUAUAGCUAGGACAAGGCUCCAUCCGCUCUGUUAUUAUAUUAAAAAAAGAGAAGGACGAAGAAACAAAGAGACCAGAUACAUAAUAUGUAUCUAACGAGAGAUUUGAGAGGCUUUUGUAUGUAAUAAAAGGAGAGCGAGACAAAUAACAAUUGUCCAUGGAUCUCCUAUGUAAUCUCAAUUUUAUCAUGCCUGCAUUUUAAGUGAAUACACUUUUUUUCAAGACUAAUUGAAAUUUAUGAUAUGCACAUUUGAUUCUAGAUGUAUUCUUUGGUUUGGUCAUGCUUAACCGUGGUCAUUCUUUGAAGGUAUUAAGGUACGACAUUUAUUCAUGUGGCAAAACAUAAGCUUUCUAGUACUCUUUAAUAAAAUGUACUUUGCAUUACUGUGACAACUUCGCUACUUCCAUUAAUUAUGCAAUUUCCAACAUUGAGAUAGCAUCGUGUAUGCAUCUAUAGACCACUAGCUUGGUAAUAAGUGUGGUAAGUGCUUUGAUGAUUUAUGCCAGCUAUAUUAUUGGAAAGGCGCAACAUGAGGGAUAUUUUGGCUUUCUAAGUAUGAUUGGUCUAACGAGGUGAUACAAAUUUAUACUAUAGCUAGUGUGGUUUGUUCAUGCAACAGAUACAUGUCAUCGUUUUGUUCAGUUAGGAAACCACAUAUAGAACUAGUUACCUCAAAGAAACCAUAAGAAUGGUUGGAACAUAAAAUGGACUUAGGAGGAUUGAAUUGGAUCAGAGGAGGACGACCACCCACAUUGUCCUUGGAUUUUUUAUAUAAUCCAACCCCAACUUUAUCAUGGCUACCUUUUUAAGAGAACACUUUUUCUAUGACUAAUGUAAUGACUGAGUGUGCAUUGUAUUCAUAACCAUGAUCACUAAGAGAUUUGCAACAUAAAACUUCUAAUUUAUAAGAAAAACUAUGUGUUAUAUAUUGUUGCACCGUCAAAUCUGUGCACUAGUGAACGACUGGGCAAAUGCUUUGUUUGUUGGUCAGAGUAGUGCUCCAAUGGAUGGUCUAGUAGUGACACCACCAGACAAUUCCUUAGAACACAGUGGCGACUAAGACAUAAGGUGUCUCCUCUACACGCAUGGGCGGAGACUCGUAGAGGCGAUACUGGGCACCUGCCACCCCUUAGUCUAAAAGAACACUAGUACAUGUUUGAGUCUCCGAGCAUCCGUGACUUAUUUUGUACUAUGAUUGGCCAUUGGUAAUCCUAUGUAUCCAUCCAUCUUGUCUCCUUUCUCUCCUAUCAGAUCAAUCAUCUACUCAAAGCAUGCAACUUUACCCUAUCAGUACCUUGGAUAGCAUGCUCUACUAGCUUUUUUAACCGUACUUCUAUGCCAUGUGGAUGUGUGUCGUCCUUGCCUAGUUCCAAUAAAGAACAACAAAAACUUUGUGUAUGCCUGUAAUUUGGAGCUAAUCCUUUUGGUCACACUCAAGUAAUCUACUGUAGUUGCCCCCCCUUGAUUAUACCUCACGCUCCGCCGCUGUCUACACGCUUCAAGGACCAUGUGUCAGCACAAGUAGCAUCAGCAUCCCGGUCUCGCUCCCUCUCUAACACAUUUAUCUUUACACCCCUUGUCUCUCUCUCUCAAUCUAGCAAGAAAGGAGAAGAACCCUAAGCCCCUCCUCGUUACUAGAUUGGAGCUAGGACACUAUUACAAAAUCCAUUAUCAUCACCACACCCUUAAUUAUCACCGUCGUUUUUUUCUAGUACCGACGACGAAAAUAUUUCACUGCAGAUUUUCAGUCCAAAAGGGCUGCACAUAACUUGGGAUUGGACUGAUGCCAAAAAAAUAUUUUCACCACUGGAUCAUAUUCAUUGUUUUAUUACAGGUGGAGAAAACUGUUUUUACCACUGAAUUGGUUGAUCUAGCUGACAUUGAAGAAAUAGCUAGCUAAUGCAAAAUUAGAUUAUGAGCCCCACCCUGUGUGGCCAGGGGCUUUUGGGACGGCGUAGGAAAUGUAGGAAGGAUGGAUUGGUGUCACUUAAGGGGCUUUUUGUGCAAAAAGACCCUUAUAUUAUUGUUAAGAAAGAGAAGAGAGAAGAAACAAAGAGACAAUAAUACACUAGGCAAGAAUGAAAAAAUAAAAUGCUCAAGUGAUAGAGUAGUAUACUGAUCGUGGCAAGAGACAAUAAUACACAAGAAUACCAAGUGGAGACACAAAUAUUUUUCUCCCAAAAUUUUUGUGCUUGUCGGCAUGCUAGUACCCAUUAUGUUGACCGUUCACUUCAUGAUUCGUGACAUAAUAAGCGUAACAAGCCUAACCCUACACAAGGCCGCCACAAGAACCUACACAAAUAAGGGUAGUCAAUGACAUGAGCAAUCCACUGUAGUGCAUUUUGUUUCCCAUGCGGGGAAAGGUCAAGAAACAACACAAUGAUCACCAGGAGUGGCCAUAAACAAUCAUCAACUUAUGCCAACCUCGUCAAGCUGCUCCAAGCCAUAGCUAGAAUGAUCCCCAAGUGCCACUAAAUGCAAUCGCUUAAGCAAACACACUUUGGAUCGGUCCCAACUCACAUGGAUGAUGAAUCAAUCAAAGGCAUGAGUGAGAGAGGUUUGGCUUAGCUCACAAGGAUGCAACAAUGAUCAAAAUGCCCAAGAGAGUGAGCUAGAGUGGGUCAACAUCUAUUUAUAGAGGCCCCAUGCCUCGAAUAGCCAUUAUGCCCACAAAGGGGUGACUAGACCUGUGUCUAGACCUGUUAAUCCCAAAUUUUUGUGAGACAGGAUUUACUUGUGGGUCCACCGUACCCAUGGAGAGAAGGAACGGUUGGACAAUGGAUCGACUAAAUUGAAGACUGGAUGAAAAUUUUCGAUCGGAACAUGUCGAGUCAAGACGGAUGCAAGGGAAGACGUGUCAGGUUCCAUUACAAGAAGGAUUAAAGUCCGAGUUACCUUUCUGAGUGUUCGUGUAAUAGUAGGACACAUGAUUAGGUUUCCUGGUUAUAAAUAUCAGAGAUCCGAUCCUUGUAAAAAUAUACACAAUCAAAUACAAAACCUUUUCGGCUCCGGCCGUCAACCUUAGGAGUAGGAGUAAGAGUAGAUCUCGAUAAGACCUUCGACGAAUCGAGCUGCAUCGGUUGAUUUCGACUUUCGAUUUGCUUGUAAGUAUUGUCAUGGUUCUAUUUAAGUCUAUCACGGCUGCAUCAUUCAAACUCGUGUUAAGCUUGAAUUGGACUAGUUAUCGGUUUAGAUCAUAUUUGUAAGGCUGCAUUUAUUUAAUCUCUUACAAAGAAUCGAUUUAAGCUAAUUAUUGACUCUAUUAAAUUAGCAAUUUAAUAGAUUCUAUAAGUUAUCAAUAUUAUUUGAAGUUUAAUAUUUUAUUUAUUAUAACAAUAUUCCACCCAAUUAAUAUCCGACAGAUUAGUUCAAGCUUCAAACAUAUAUACUUGAAACGAAUUCUAAUGUACAACGAUUAUCAAACAACUAUCCAAGUUAACUAAUCUGUUAAUCUUAAUUGUUACAUAUUGUGCGUUCGAGAUAUUUAUUCAAUCAUGAUUAAUCUGGUAACUAAAACAAAAUUUAAUUAUGACCAAGUAGAUCUUGUUCGUGCUUCAUGGAUUUUGUAUCGGCUAAAUAGCCGAUCCGGUUAAGCUUCAAUGAAGAGUGCACGUGUGUAAAUUCAGUUAUGAAGUUAAAUAGACUAGUAAUUUAUGUUGAAUUUAUUGAAGCCCGCUGGUCUUUAGACCAGGUAAAUAUAAAUUUACUAUGAAAGUAACUUAUUAAAACUGCAGGCCUUUAGACCAUCUUAAAUGAGUUAUUGUCUAUCUAAUGAAUAAAAGGAUAAACAUACGUAAACUAUCUCUCAUGUAUGAAUAACGUAUCGACUAAAUAGUCGAUCUAGUUGUUUUCGCUCGUAACCCAAUUGCUCGAUUAUAUUCAAAAGUGACUCAACAAUUAAAUAACAAAUGUCAUAAUGCAUUAUCAUUACCUUAUUGUUAGGAGUUGACUUUUUAGUCAAUUUCCUUUGGUUAAUGGCUACCUUGGGCCAUAUAUUGUGGAACUGUCUGACAAUAACCGACAUGUUUCAUAAUUUGUCAUUUUUCUUCCUUUUCAAUUUUAGGUCACAUUGACUGGCAUGCCACGGAUUUAAGUCACCAAGCUAAGCUCGUGUGUUGAGGCUUAGGAGGUCCAGAACUCUAGCUUCUACACGCCCUCUAAAAGCCGCCAAGUGUGUUGUACAAGAAGCAUUUUUUUUUGCACCAACAGGACCAUCGACCCCGAGUCUGGCCCACCCUAGGAGCAAAUCAGCAUGUGUUCAAAUACAGCCGUUAUGCGCGCUCAAUGGUCACUAACUUGGUCUAGACCGGACGCGCACCACAACGACCAGACUCCCUCAUAGCGGAGUCCAAUCAACUCCAGUAAGCAUCCAGAGCACUCAAAUGAGACUGAGUCCAGUCUGACUAAUUAGACCCACGAAUAGUAGGUUCCAGUCCGUAACUAGAGCAUUAUGUUAUCCCCCAAAUAAUUCUUUGGACCCUGACUAUGUUCAGGUUCUCAAUCGGAUCGAGUCUAGUCACUCUACUACUACUCACAUGCGUGCCCUCACCUCAACCGAACUCGCACAUAUUGGUCUAAAUGCCUGAUCUGGUAGGGUCCGGUCCGAGUGCUAAAGCCCACAGGCUAGGGUAUGGUGCCGGACUAGACUCACCCAGGGUCCAGACCCCCUAAGCCUUGAGAGUCCGAUUCAAGAAUCUUCUCCAAAUCAACUCCAAGUUCUUCACCCUUGUGCAUUUGUGCCAACUCUAAGUAUCUCAACACACGUGUACGCGAGUUAGCAACAUUUUCAAAGUAUUUUUAAGGGUGCUAAGUUAGCACACUAGCUAGGUCUAAUGCAUAUGCAUGAUCAACAACACCUAGUGGCACUUGAUAAUCGUUGUAACCAUGAUUUUCCGCUCUUCAUAAUACGACUAUCUAUCCUAAAUUCAAUCACACCCUCUAUGGUGUGUUAUGAUUGGUGAAAAAAAAUCUUAUUUAUGCCUUUUCCUUGGUCUCCAUAGAUUUCUAUUUUUCUCUUUCUUCUUUUCUAAGUCGGAGCACUUGAUCUUCAAAUUUGUCCAUCUCCAUCACCAUGGACACCAUCAUCUAGCUCCAUCACUUAGGGUGUACCAACCUAUCUUACAUAAGACUUAUGACAAAGGUUAGUACACUUAGAUUUCAUCAAUUAUCCAAAACCAAACUAGGGCUUUCAAAGGCCUUUUUUUGUAUAAUAAAAGGAUCCAAGGUGCGAUACAAAGGAGCCCUUGUUGUGUUGUCACACCCUAGGCAUGACUAUUUCCAAAGUAAGCAAGUGGUGUCUAGUUAAAAUAGGAAACAACCAACAACCCUGCUAAAGCUCACACUAUAGUGUUCCUCCUUAGGUGUUAGAGGGAUGCUCCAUGAUAGGCGCCACUCGGAACAUUCAAGGUGUCCCUCUGGUGUGCUGAUCUCUUUGGUGAUAUCUUGGCCAGCUUCCCUUAUGUAGUGUACCAAAGGGCCUUGGUUCGACUGAGACCUUCCAUAAAAUGACCUAAGCGAGCGGUUCUAGGCCCAUGUCCACUAAGCCACAUUCGUUUGGCCAAAUCCCCCUAAAUGAUAUAGGGAGUCAAGUGGACCAUCCAUCGCCUGGGGUAAGAGAACUCUGAGGGCUUCUAGGUAUCCAGUGGGGGCAUGCAAGCACACCUGCUGGGUGUGGCCCCCUGAGUCCCUAACUGAUUAGUAGAAUUAGUUAGGAACUUAACUUCAUCUUAAAUAGCAAACUAUGAUCUUAUAAGGCUUGAAAUCCUUGUGAUGCUUUUCGUACCACUGAUAGUCUAUUUUAUGUUCAAUGUAGUGGCAGUUGAUUUCAAAGACAAACUAAGUGGUAAUUAUUAGGAUUUGCCCAAUCACUUACCCAAGAAGGAACGAAGGAUGACUCUGUCUAGGUUUAUGAGCAAACCAACAAAGAUUAACUAUCACACUUACAUGACGAUAAAAUAAAUGACUAGUUGACAAAGAAACUAGCUAAAACCACAACAAGCAAGCUAGCUACAUUGGGCCUCAUACAACACCAAGCUCUUGCACAUGGGCAAAGUUAUGUCAGAACUAUGGAUAAUAACACAAUGCCAUAUAUAUGUUGCCCCCUCAUUUCUAAGAGUCCUAGGUGUAUUUGUACUUGCACUAGGAUCAUGCACAAGUACGCACAAAAACAAGAAAUUUAGUACAUAGCUAAAAAGAAAGGUUCCGAGCUUUAUUGAUAUCUCUUAGAACUGUAGCCCGGAGGGUGAAGUUGUAGGCUUACAGAGCUAGCGGGAAACUACUGCCAUAGGGUGGCACUUGUUCACGGUGGUCUCUAGUACAAUGGGAUUAUACAACAUAUCAAUAACGUAUUCCAUAGGCAAGCUCGAGCAUGACCAAAACCCUAGCUCCGAUGUCAUCUCUUGCAUUAAGACUCUUCAUGUAACUCCUAAUCUUCAUGGUGCACUUCCUCAUCAUGGCCUUGGUCUUCCUUAUCACCAAAGUCUAUGGUGAACAAUAGGUGAAUACUUAUGUACUUAUGUACUCAGCAAGCCCUAACCAUAGGGUGGAAAUAGAGGUGUGGUGGUGAUUAUAAUUAAGGGUUGGGUCCUAGUGGAGCAUUACCAUCCUAGCUAAUCCCCAAGUUAGUGUUAUCUCAUGUUAGUUACCAGUUUCAUUACAUAAAAAGUAAAUCUAAUAAUAGUAUCCCAUCUCAGCAUCUUCUCAUUCCUAGGAUAUGCCUAUUCGAAUAGAUUUGAGUAGCUUUGCAGAGGUGUACAAAUUUCCCCCACAUGAUAGGCACAAUCCCUUCCAUGAUCAGUGGAUGAAGUAGGGCUAACAAGAUCCCAUGUCCGCUUGGGUGCUACCAUAGACUUUCAUAUAACUCUAUCAUGACUUCUUAGGGGUCAAAAAACGUACAAAAACUUAGGAUGAUACCUUAUCAUCCCAUCAAAUCAGUGUCGCUGAUACCAAAUCAUCAAAAUAGUCAAUAAUAGUCAAGGGCUCGAACAUGGCCAAAUAUCAAGGGGCUUAACAUGGAAGAUCACCUAGCAUCCACACCAAUCGGACCAUGGAAGAUCACAUAGCAUCCAUGUCUGCUCCUGAUAUUAUGUUGCCUACACCGACCUCCUAGUAGAAAUUAUACUUUCACCCAACAUGGUGAGAUCAAGUCUACCCAUGUAGACAUGUGGCUAUACGUAACAUCACACUAGGCGAGAGGGACUAUGAACUAGUCCUUAUGUGACCAAAGUGAGCAUCAGUGGGUGCUCGAGGUGAUGGUGGUGGCUCGCCAGAGCUUCCAUUGUGGCAUCGUGUGGUGGUUAUAGCCCUAAUGACCUUAUCUAACUCAACUAACUACGUGUACAUGGGUGCGGGAUUGUGGUGAGUGCAGUGGUGGUCGUGUAGUGCCCAAUCGAGCCUCUUGGUAAAUGGUGGUUGUUAGCCAUGGUGACUCGGUGGGCACAGUGCUUGGUGGCAGCAUGACACAAGAGGUCUAAUCAACUAACUAGCUAAUGGUGCAACAAAUGGGGAAGGAGAGGGAGGCGACUUCAAUGGCGUCGAUGGCACCUGAUUUAGGGGAACCAAUGUUGACCAAGGAGGAGAAGAGGAAAGGGGAAGAGGAGAGCGAGAUGGAGUGUUCUAGCUCAUGACAGAGCUAGUGGUGGAGAGCAUGAGGUCAGAGCGGCCUGUUUAUGGGCCGGCCAUGUUGGUUCCACUGGCAAGAUAUUUUCUCACUCGUUGAGCUCACUUAGAAAAAAACACACGUGCCCGAUGCCUUAGGUCAGCUUGCCAUAGUGUAUCCAUGGCAUCUAGUGGCUCGAGGGCUCUUGGGCCUAUGUGUCAGCCCCAGCCUCCUUUGCCACCAAGUCUCUAGAAAGCACACCUGGGGGGCCCGGUUCAAGCCGACAUAGCCUAACACUCGGCGUAUCAGAACAGAGCAACUAGAUGAUGUCUAGGGCUUCUUUGGCUCCACGACACCAACACGAUCCUUAAAGUACCACUACAAGACCCUCAUGGACUCUAGCACCCGUAGAACAUGGGCUCAACUCCUAAAACCACCAUGUAUCCGACCUAUCUCGAUAUAAAAGGGAUAGGUCAGGUCCUAUAGUGGAUAGGACAAUCUGAGAUAGACAUUACGUUCCUCAUCGAUCUCCUCCUACUCAGCAUCAAGAGUAGAGCAACCCAGAGAGGGGUAGCGAGAGCUCCUCCACCGCACCCAUUAUCUUCCUCUUCUUUGACGAGGGAAAGACUACAUCGGCGACGAGGUGAACUUAGGAUAGCACCGAGCUAACCCCCUAACAAAUCUCUCUCUUUCUCCUGCACUCUAUUGUAACUCCCCAAUUUUGGGUGCUCUUGAGUAUAAGGAUCAUCAGCUACUUGAUGUAGGACGUUGAUGGGCUUGAACCAGGAUAAACUGUUGCGUUUCCUCUGUGAUUAUUGUGUUCUUGAGUCCACCCGAGCCACCGAAGACAUGUACUCUGACACCAAUUUGAACAACAAUGCUUGCCGCAGUUCUGACCCCACGACACUAGGUUUAUGAGCAAACCAACAAAGAUUAAAUGGCACACUUACUUGACUACAAAUAAAUGACUAGUUUAAAACAAACUAGCUAAAACCAACAAGCAGCUAGCUACAUUGGGCCUCAUACAACACCAUGCUCCAGCGCAAGGGCAAAAUUGUGUCAUAACCACAGAUAACAAGACCAUGCCCUAACACAAGGGCAAAAUUGAAGGGGAAAACACAAAUUGAGCACAUUGCUAUAUAUAUGAUUUCUAUCAUUUUAGGGCUUUGCCUUGUUUGCUUUUAAAAAAUACAAGGUUGUUAUUAUGUGGUUAUGCGAUGCUUUAUCAAUUCACGUAGGGACCGAAAGGAGUCUGAUGAAACAUUGAUGUUAAGCGCUAGUCGUUAAAAUAUCUUAUCACUCAUUUAUCCUCAAGCUUUUUUUGAGAAUUACAUAGUACAACGUAGACACUUACAACACACGCACACUAAUUUCUAUGAAUACACGUACACAAACCCUCUAUGAGUAUCUCCGAACAACUGAGCCGGUAGAUCACAAGAUUUAUGAAGUUACCACACGCGCCUCACUGAGGAAAAUGUGAGCACCUAUGCCAAGUUGAGGACUUGAAUCCGGGUGGGUAGAUUCUAUCACAAGGAACUCAACUAGCUGAUCUAUAGUCAGUUUGCUAUCCUCAAGCUGAAUUGAGGGAGGAGACUCCAAUGAUCACCUUUGAAGUCCAUAAAAAGGUUGAAGUUUAUGAAAUAUAUCUAUCUAUUGCCUAACAAACACAUAGAAGUUAUAACUAAUUUAUUUUUGAAUUUAUACUUUCAAAAAUACAUCGCAUGACUGAUUGGCUAUGCACGUGGCUCCAAAGUCCAAACCCCUACUAUAUCAUACCUUCCGUCCAGGCGCUCAUUCAGAUUUGAUUUUUUUUUCUAGAUUUGAAUUAAACCUUCCGUCCAAAACCUAGGCCUUGUUUACAUUCAAAAUCUUUUUGGAUUUGGAUACUAUAGCACAUUCAUUUAUAUUUGGCAAUUAUUGUCCAAUCACGAACUAAAUAGGCUCAAAAGAUUCAUCUCAUAAAUUACAGGCAAGCUGUGUAAUUAAUUAUUUUUUUUUAUCUAUACUUAAUGCUUUAUGUAUGUGCCACAAGAUUUAAUGUGAGAGGGAAUCUUGAAAAAUUUUUGGAUUUUGAGUGGAACUAAACAAAGCCCUAGGGUAAAAACAAGAAUCUCAAAUUAAUCUGGCUUUGGGCUAAAUAUUUUCAAACUAGUACUAGAAAUCUCUUAUGUUUUUAAUAGUAGUCAACAUUAUGACAUAUAGCCCUGAACUUUUUAAAAUGUGCUCUCAAAAUGGGGGAUGGAAGAUGAAGUUGAAAUAGUAGCAUCUCCUAACUCCCACUUACUCAUGUGGACCCUUCGUAGCAUUUUGUGACCAUAUGUUUUAAGGAGUUGUACAUGUAGAGUUGUUCUGACACUAAAACAGUUUUAGCUCUACGAGUAGAGCUGCUCGUGGAGCCAAAGUAAAAUAAUAAUAAUUUCAUUGGUGAAGUGAGGUGGAGCUCUGCCAAAGGGAUGUAACCUCCUCAUCUCAAAAAAAAUGGAAGUAGCCUCCUCUCUUUCUUGGUUGGUCAAUAGAUGUCCAUGAGUCGGCCUGGUUUGGCCAGGCACAGGCCCAGGCUAGGCAUGGCUUCAUGUGGGUCGGGCCGACAUGGCACGUCGUGCCUCCUAGGCCAUGCCUCAUCAGCCGGCCUCAUGUUUGCCAGCGGCCUAGGCACAACCUAUUGGGCCGAUUUUUGAGCUGGGCUGGCCCAGAAAGCACAACCUGCAGAGUAGGGGGGCUAGCCAGAGGCCCACAUUGCAAUGAAGCCAUGGGGGAGCGUUGUCACCAGCUGUGCAGAGGAGCCAAGGGUCAUGUGAGGCCAUGUGAGGGAGUUAGGGAAGAGGAGGCGACGCGAGUCCAUUUGGAGAUGGCUGCUGCAUCUGAUCUGCAUGACGUGGAGGUCAGCAGGGUAAGAGAGAUCUGAGAUAGGCCACUGGAGAGGAGAGGAGAGGAGCGCGAGAUGGGGCAAGCUAGCAUCACAGGCAGCUGAGUGAAGGAAGAAGAGGAGGGCGAGCAAGUGCGGGCGGGCAGCGGAAGAGUCAGUAAGGGCGGUGGCUUCGGCCUUCCCCGUGUGGAGUAGUGAUGGAAAAAAAGAAGUUAGUCGAUGGGGCAGCAGAUCAAGAGUAGCUGUGGGUGGAUGAAUAUGUUGGAUGUUGGCCCAGGCAGGCUAGGCUAGCUCGGGUCACUCAGCACCAGGGCCAUGCCGUGCUCGUGCUGGGCCAAAAUGGCAGGCUUCCUGCCGGACUGCGGGGUGCAUGGCCAAGUAUAAUAUAUAUGUGCAUGCAUGGUAUUCAUUCAUCUCUCUCCACUUCCUUACAUUCAUCUAACGCUGCAGCUGUAAUGUAAUGACAACAACAACGACAAUACAAUGAAGAUAAGAGAGAUCGAGGGAGCAGAGGGACUGAAGAAGACAGGAUUAGGAGUACCUCGGAUCGCGGCAAGACGAACAGCUGCAGGGACGCCAGUGGUCAUCGAUCUCCCUUAUUAGCUUGUUAUAUUACGGUAUGCAAUGCAUGGAAUAGCUAGCAAAACUCGCUCGGCCGUGAAUGACCUCUAUCUCCCCGGUGUGCUUGCAUGCACGCGUGUCCAUAAUAUAAAUAGGAGCCCCGGCCGCCUGCUAGCUCAUUCAUAUUCAUCGCAUCGUAGUUACAUUACAUACCAUCCACCAAACGAUCAAAGGAAGAUGGGAGCGAACAUGAUGUCGUGGUCGAUGCAGGUGGCGUUGGUGGUGGCGCUGGCGUUUCUGGUGGGCGGCGCAUGGUGCGGUCCUCCCAAGGUUGCCCCGGGCAAGAACAUCACGGCCACCUACGGCAGCGACUGGCUGGAAGCGAAGGCAACAUGGUACGGUAAGCCAACAGGCGCCGGCCCCGACGACAACGGCGGCGCAUGUGGUUACAAGGAUGUGAACAAGGCCCCCUUCAACAGCAUGGGCGCGUGCGGCAACCUCCCCAUCUUCAAGGACGGCCUCGGCUGCGGCUCCUGCUUUGAGAUCAAGUGUGACAAGCCGGCCGAGUGCUCCGGCGAGGCCGUGGUGGUGCACAUCACGGACAUGAACUACGAGCAAAUCGCCGCCUACCACUUCGACCUGGCCGGCACGGCGUUCGGCGCCAUGGCCAAGAAGGGCGAGGAGGAGAAGCUGCGCAAGGCGGGCAUCAUCGACAUGAAGUUCCGCCGGGUCAAGUGCAAGUACGGCGAAAAGGUCACCUUCCACGUGGAGAAGGGGAGCAACCCCAACUACCUGGCGCUGUUGGUCAAGUACGUCGACGGCGACGGUGACGUUGUGGGGGUGGACAUCAAGGAGAAGGGUGGCGACGCGUACCAGCCCCUCAAGCACUCCUGGGGCGCUAUCUGGAGGAAGGACAGCGACAAGCCAAUCAAGUUUCCCGUCACCGUCCAAAUCACCACCGAAGGAGGCACCAAGACCGCCUAUGAAGACGUCAUCCCCGAAGGCUGGAAGGCCGACACCACCUACACCGCCAAAUAAACUGUCCAACAGACCUAACGCUGCUCUGGGCUCGGUUGGAUUGGAUCCCAACUUCCCAAGCAAUGCAUUACACUUACGCAUGCAUGGAUCCAUGCACAAUAUCUAUUUUUUUACUGCUGCUACUGCUACGACAAUGUCCUCCUUUGUCCUCUCCAUAUAUAGCUAGAGUCAGGCUCUGCUCUCUUAUAUUAUUAUUAUAUAAGAUAAGAAAUAGGAGAGAGAGAGGAGAGAGACCGAGUACAUAAUAAGUGUCUAAUUAAAGAGAGAUUUGAGAGGCCUUUAUUUUAUAUAUAAUAAAGAAUCCAAGGAGUGAGGCAAACAGCAACAAAAAUGCGUUGUACUGUCCAUGGAUUUCCAUGUAAUCUCAAUUAUACCAUGUCUACAUUUUAAUAGAAUACACACUUUUUAAUGAUUAAUUGAAAUUUAUGAUAAGCAUUCUAGAUGUAUUCUUUGCUUUGCCAGCCUUAGCCGCGGCCAUUCUUCGAAGGUAAGGUACAAUAAUUUCAUUCAUGCUACAAAAUAUAAGCUUUCUACUCUUUAAUAAGAUGAACUUUCCAUUAUUACGACACCUUCACUGCUUGCAUUAAUUAUGCAAUUUCCAACAUUAAGAUGGCGUCAUGUAUGCAUCUAGACCACUAGGUAAUAAGCGUGGUAAUUGUUUCGAUGAUUUAUAUCAACUAUAUUAUUAGAAAGGCACAACAUGAGGGAUAUUAUAGCUUUCAAACAUGAUUGAUCUAACGAGUCGAUUGCACAAGCCGACGGGCGCCGGCCCCGACGACAACGGUGGUGCGUGCGGGUACAAGGAUGUGAACAAGGCCCCCUUCAACAGCAAGGGUGCGUGCGGCAACCUCCCCAUCUUCAAGGAUGGCCUCGGCUGCGGCUCCUGCUUUGAGAUCAAGUGUGACAAGCCAGCCGAGUGCUCCGGCGAGGCCGUGGUGGUGCACAUCACGGACAUGAACUACGAGCAAAUCGCCGCCUACCACUUCGACCUAGCCGGCACGGCGUUCGCCGCCAUGGCCAAGAAGGGCGAGGAGGAGAAGCUGCGGAAGGCGGGCAUCAUCGACAUGCAGUUUCGUCGGGUCAAGUGCAAGUAUGGCGAAAAGGUCACCUUCCAUGUGGAGAAGGGGAGCAACCCCAACUACCUGGCGCUGCUGGUCAAGUACGUCGACGGCGACGUUGUGGGGGUGGACAUCAAGGAGAAGGGUGGCGACGCUUACCAGCCCCUCAAGCACUCCUGGGGCGCUAUCUGGAGGAAGGACAGCGACAAGCCAAUCAAGUUCCCCGUCACCGUCCAAAUCACCACGGAGGGAGGCACCAAGACCGCCUACGAAGACGUCAUCCCCGAAGGUUGGAAGGCCGACACCACCUACACCGCCAAAUAAGCUAUCCAACAGCGCUGCUCUUGGCUAGGUUGGAUUGGAUCCCAACUUCCCAAGCAAUGCAUUACGCUUAUGCAUGCAUUGAUCCAUGCAUAAUAUCUAUUUUUUUACUAUUGCUGCUGCGACGAUGACGACGUCGUCCUUCAUCCUCUCCAUACGUAGCUAGACAGAGGCUUCCUUCGUCCUCUCCAUAUAUAGCUAGGGCGAGGCUCCAUCUGCUCUGUUAUAUAUUAAAAAGAGAGACUGGAUACAUAAUAAGUAUCUAACGAGAGAUUUGAGACGCUUUUGUAUGUAAUAAAAGGAGAGCGAGACAAACAACAGUUGUCUAUGGAUCUCCCAUGUAAUCUCAAUUUUAUCAUGCCUACAUUUUAAGUGAAUACACAUUUUUUCAAGACUAAUUGAAAUUUAUGAUACGCACAUAUCGAUUCUAGAUGUAUUCUUUGGUUUGGCCAUGCUUAACCGUGGUCAUUCUUUGAACAUAUUAAGGUAAGACAUUUUUUCUGCAAAACAUAAGCUUUCUAGUACUCUUUAAUAAAAUGUACUUUGCAUUACUGUGACAACUUCGCAAACUUCCAUUAGUUAUGCAAUUUCCAAUAUUAAGAUAGCAUUGUGUAUGCAUAUAUAGACCACUAGCUUGGUAAUAAGUGUGGUAAGUGCUUCCUUGAUUUAUGCCAGCUAUAUUAUUGGAAAGGCACAACAUGAAGGAUAUUUUGGCUUUCUAAAUAUGAUUGAUCUAACCAGGUGAUACAGAUUUAUACUAUAGCUAGCGUCAUUUGUUCAUGCAAGAGAUACAGGUCAUCGUUUUCCUCACUUAGGAAACCAUAUAUAGAACUAGUUACCUCAAAGAAACCAUAGGAAUGGUUGGAACAUAAAAUGGACAUAGGAGGAUUGAAUUGGAUCAGAGGAGGUAAACAAUAUCAUAAAUGAUGUCGUGUUUCCUCUAUCACCCACACUGUCCUUGGAUUUUUUAUAUAAUCUAUAACCCCAAUUUUAUGAUGGCUUCCUUUUAAGAGAACACUUUUUUUUCUAUGACUAAUGUAAUGACUGAGUGUGCAUUGUAUUCAUAACCAUGAUCACUAAGAGAACUGCAACAUAAAACUUUUAAUUUAUAAGAAAAACUAUGUGUUAUAUAUUGUUGCACCGUCAAAUCUGUGCAUUAGUGAAUGGCUGGGCAAAUGCUUUGUGUGUUGGUCAGAGUAGUAGAGUAGUGCUCCCAUGGAUGGUCUAGUAGUGACAGCACCAGACAAUUCCCUAGAACACAGUGGCGACUAAGACAUGUUGUUUCUGAGGUGUCUCCUCUACACGCUUCAAGGACCAUGUGUUAGCACGAGUAGCAUCAACAUCCCAGUCUCGCUCCCUCUCUAGCACAUUUAUCUUUACACCCCUUCUCUCUCUCUCUAGCAAGAAAGGAGAAGAACCCUAAGCUUCUCCUCGUCACUAGAUUGGAGCUAGUACACUACUACAAAAUCCAUUAUCAUCACCACAACCUUAAUUAUCACCGUCGUUUUUUCUAGAACCGGUGGCAAAAAUAUUUCACUGCAGAUUUUCAGUCCAAAAAGGGCUGCACAUAACUUGGGAUUGGACCAAUGACAAAAAAUAUUUUCACCAUUGGAUCAUAAUUUAUUGUUUUAUUACUAGAGGAGAAAACUGUUUUUACCACUGAAUUGGUUGAUCUAGAUGACGUUGAAGAAAUAGUUGGCUAGUGCAAAAUUAGAUUAUGUGUCCCACCGUGUGUGGCCAGGGGCUUUUGGGUCGGCGUAGGAAAUGUAGGAAGGAUGGAUUGGUGUCACUUAAGGGGCUUUUCCUGCAAAAAAACCCCUUAUAUUAUUGUUAAGAAAGAGAAGAGAGAAGAAACAGAGAGACCAAAUACAUAAUAAGUGCCUAAUGAGAGAUUUGAUAGGCUGAAAGGUCCUAAAUGGCUAGAGGUGAGUGAAUAACCUAUAAAAAUUUCUACAAAAUCACUAGAGCAACCGGUUAGAUAACUAAAUAACGAUAAUUGCAUUUUACUCUAGCUCUUAUCAAAUAGCAAGCCACCUACCAAUAUUGCUAGUAUCUUACGAUCACUAAGGCACAUAAUGGCUAUGUCUCUACUUGACUAACUAGUUAGCUAGCUAAUUAACUAACAAUAACAACUAGGCUAGCUACACUAACAAGUUACUACUACUGCACUAGGCAAGAAUGAAAAAAAUGAAAUCAAGUGAUAGAGUAGUAUAUGCUGAUCGUGGAAAGAGACAAUAAUACACAAGAAUACCAAGUGGAGACACAAAUAUUUUUCUCCCAAGGUUUAUGUGCUUGUCGGCAUGCUAGUACCCAUUAUGUUGACCAUUCACUUCAUGAUUCGUGACAUAAUAAGUGUAACAAGCCUAACCAUACACAAAGCCGCCAUAAGAACUUACACAAAUAAGGGUAGUCAAUGACAUGAGCAAUCCACUAUAGUGCAUUUUACGAUCUCAUCUGGGGAAAGGUCAAGAAAGAACACAAUGAACAGCAGGAGUGGCCAUGAAUAAUCAUCAACUUAUGCUAACCUCCUCAAGCUGCUCUAAGCCAUAGCUAGAAUGAUCCCCAAGUGCCACUAAAUGCAAUCACUUAAGCAAACACACUUUGGAUUGGUCCCAACUCACAUGGAUGGUGAAUCAAUCAAAGGAAUGAGUGGGAGAGGUUUGGCUUAGCUCACAAGGAUGCAACAAUGAUCAAAAUGCCCAAGAGAGUGAGCUAGAGCCGGUCAACAUCUAUUUAUAGAGGCCACAUGCCUCAAAUAACCAUUAUGCCCAUGCAGGGGUAACUGGAGCCAACGUCUUGACCAUCGACCCUAAGUCUGGCCCACCCUAGGAGCGAAUCAGCAUGUGUUCAAAUCCAACCAUUAUGCACGCUCAAUGGUCACUAACUUUGUCUAGACCGGACAUGCACCACAGCGACUAGACUCCACACAGUGGAGUCCAGUCGACUCCAGUAAGCAUCCAGAGCACUCAAAUGAGUCUAGACUGAGUCCACCGAACCCUUGAAUAGUAGGUUCCAGUCCAAAACUAGUGCAUUCUGUUAUCCCCCAAAUAAUUCUUUGGACCCUAACCAUGGUCAGGUUCUUAACCGGACUGAGUCUAGUCACUCUGCUACUACUCACCUGCACUCCCUCACCUCAACCGAACUCACAGAGAUUGGUCUGAAUGCCUAAUCUGGUAGGGUAUGGUGCCGGACUGGACUCACCUAGGGUCCAGACCCCAUAAGCCUUCAGAGUCCGAUUCAAGAAUCUUCUCCAAAUCAACUCCAAGUUCUUCACCAUGUGCAUGUGUGCCAACUCCAAGUAUCUCAACACAUGUGUACGUGAGUUAGCAACAUUUUCAAAGUAUUUUAAGGGUGUUAAGUUAGCACACUAGGUCCUAAUGCAUAUGCAUGAUCAACAACACCUAGUGGCACUUGAUAAUCAUUGUGACCAUGAUUUUCCCCUCUUCAUAGUACAACUAUCUAUGUUAAGUCCAAUCACACCCUCUAUGAUGUGUUUUGAUUAGUGAAACAAAAAUUUUAUUUAUACCUUUCUCUUAGUCUCCAUAGGUUUUUAUUUUUCUUUUUCUUUGUUUCUAAGUUGGAGCACUUGAUCUUCAAAUUUGUCCAUCUCCAUCACCAUGGACACCAUCAUCUAGCUCCAUCACUUAGGGUGUACCAACCUAUCUUACAUAACACUUAUGACAAAGGUUAGUACACUUAGAUUUUAUCAAUUAUCCAAAACCAAACUAGGGCUUUCAUAAGCCUUUUUUGUAUAACAAAAGGAUCCAAGGUGCGAGACAAAGGAGCCCUUGUUGUGUUGUCACACCCCGGGCAUGACUCUUUCCAAAGCAAGCAAGCGGAGUCUAGUUAAAGCAUGAAACAACCAACAACCCUGCUAAAGCUCACACUAUAGUGCUCAUCCUUAGGUGUUAGAGGGAUGUUCCAUGAUAGGCGCCACUCAGAACAUUCAAGGUGUCCCUCUGGUGUGCUGAUCUCUUUGGUGAUAUCUUGGCCAGCUUCCCUUUUGUAGUGUAUCAAAGGGCCUUGGUUCGACUGAGACCUUCCAUAAAAUGACCUAAGCGAGCGGUUCUAGGCCCAUGUCCCUGGCCUAUAAAAGGACCCCCUCGGCACCUGUUUCAGGGAAGGGAAAAAAGAAGAGAACACAAGAAAAGGCUCAAGCAUAGCAUAGAGCUUAGAGCAUGUGUUAGUGUAGUAGCUCCCUCGCUUAGGUAGCCAUCUCAGCUCCGUAGCCUCUCUGCCCCCCAGCUUAGCGUAGCUCAAGUAGCUCGAAGUUGUAAGCAGGAAGAGUAACCAGAUGUAGCUUAGCUUGGAGACAGGAAGAGUCUUUCUCGUCUCCACUCUAGUAUUAUACCUUUUCUAUCUUAGUACUCAUUUAUUAUUUAUCAUUUACUUUUAGUGUUUGAGUACUAUAUUGAUUGUUUACCUUUUAAGUACUUAGUUUAUAGUGAUCAUAUCAUUAGUGAGCUUAGGUUCUUGAUUGUGUUGGGAUAAUUGCUUGGUUAGUUUAGUGUUAGUUGUUCAAGCUAAGGAAUUGCUCUGUCAUCUAGUUAGGGUGUCUUUACUCCAGAGCUCGGGUAAAUAUAGUAGGAAUAUAGAUUAAGUGCGGUGCUUAGGCUAUAGGCUUACAUUCAGAUAUGGCUAGACCCACGGAUAGCUAGGGUAGCACCAGGUGGUGACAGCCCUGAUUGCCUACGUAUUCCCCUAUGUUCGGUCUAGUUCUUAAAACGUAAGGCUCGUUGUUCUUCAUGCCUGAUCAACCAUACGGUGAGUUCAGGAUGAGUACGCCUCUUUGCUUGACUUGAAUAACUAGUGCUAUCCUUUUACUGAGUCCCCUAAAUCUACUACCACUCUUAUUUAUCUUUUAACCCCCUUAGGUUAGUUGGUAGGUUAGUUUGGUUAUCUUUUAUUUCAUAUUGAUUACCCAUCCAUCCAUUCUUGCUAGCCAACCCAUUCCUUACCAAUCCUAACUCCAAUCAUCCAUUCUUACCCAACUCGACAACAUCCCCCUAGCCUUCCUUUGGAAAAUUACAAAUUGACACCUGGUUACUCACCAGGCGAAGUGCUACACACGAUAGUUCUGUGCGCUUGUAGAUCCCAUUUAUCUAGGUAGAUCGCAAUCACUCUUGUUAGCCCUACUAGUGUCAGGACUGACAACCCCACUAGGCAUUUGUAGACUAGCCAACUCUAGCCUCACCUUAGGUGUAGCUAAGAACUACCGACCUAAUGCUUCUAGUACCAUUACUAGGAUAGUAGUUAACCUAUGUCCUCUGCUAGUGUUGCUAAGAAGUGCCAACAACCAUCCAUCACCUAGGGUAAUAGAACUCUAAGGGCUUCUAUAGGUAUCUAGCGAGGGCAUGUGAGCACACCUGCUAGGUGUAGCCCCUGAGUCCCUAUUUGAUUAGUAGAAUUAGUUAGGAGCUUAACUUCAUCUUAAAUAGCAAACUAUGGUCUUAUAAGGCUUGAAAUACUUGUGAUGCUUUUCAUACCACUGAUAGUCUAUUUUAUGUUCAUGUAGUGGUAGUUGAUUUCAAAGACAAAAUGAGUGGUAAUUAUUAGGAUUUUCCCAAUUGCUUGCCCAAGAAGGAGUGGAGGAUGACCCUCGUUCUACAUUGUGACAAAUGUCUAGGUUUAUAAGCAAACCAACAAAGAUUAACUAUCACACUUACAUGUCAAUAAAUAAAUGACUAAAUUACAUACAAACUAGCUAAAACCACAACAAGCAAGCUAGCUACAUUGGGCCUCAUACAACACCAAGCUCCUUCACAUGGGCAACGUUAUGUCAUAACCAUGGAUAACAACACCAUGCCAUAUAUAUAUGUCAGCCCCUCAUUUCUAAGAUUCCUAGGUGCAUUUGUACUUGUGCUAGGAUCAUGCACAAGUAUGCAGAAAAACAACAAAUUUAGUACAUAGCUAAAAAGAAAGGCCCCGAGCCUUAUUGAUAUCUCUUACAUCUGUAACCUGGAGGGUGAAGUUGUAGGUUUAUAGAGCUAGCAGGAAACUACUGCCAUAGGGUGGCACUUAUUCACGGUGGUCUCUAGUACCAUGGGAUUAUACAACAUAUCGAUAACCUAUUCCAUAGGCAAGCUCGAGCAUGGCCAAAACCCUAGCUCGAAUGUCAUCUCCUGCAUUUGGACUCUUCACGUAACUCCUAAUCUUCGUGGUGCACUUCCUCGUCAUGGCCUUGGUCUUCCUCAGCGCCAAAGUCUAUGGUCAACAACAUGUGAGUACUUAUAUGUACUCAGCAAGCCCUAACCAUAGGGUGGAAAUAGAGGUGUGGUGGUGAUUAUAAUUAAGGGUUGGGUCCUAGUGGAGCACUACCUUCCCAGCUAAUCCUCAGGUUAGUGUUAUCUCAUGUUAGUUACUAGUUUCAUUACACAAAAAGUUAAGCUAAUCAUAGUAUCCCAUCUUAGCAUCUGCUCAUUCCAAGGAUAUGGCUAUUCAAAUAGAUUUGAGUAACUCUGCAGAGGUGUACAAAUUUCCCCACAUGAUAGGCACAAUCCCUUCCAUGAUCAGUGGACGAAAUAGGCUUGGGUGCUACCCUAGACUUUCAUAUAACUCUACCAUGACUUCUUAGGGUUCAGAAAACAUACUAAAACUCAGGAGGAUACCAUAUCAUCCCAUCAAAUCAAUGUCGAUGAUACCAAAUCAUCAAAAUGGUCAAUAAUAUUCAAGGGCUCGAACACGGCCAAAAAUCAAGGGGCUUAGCGUGGAAGAUCACCUAGCAUCCACACCAAUCGGACCAUGGAAGAUCACAUAGCAUACACCGACCUCCUGGUAGAAAUUAUACUUCCGCCCAACGGGGUGAGAUCAAGUCUACCCAUAUAGACAUGUGGCUAUACGUAACAUCACACUAGGCGAGAGGGACUAUGAAUCUGUCCUUAUGUGACCGAAGCGAGCAUCGCCCUAGGAACCCUAUCUAGCCAUUCCUGCCAAGAUAACUUAUCCCGCAUAAGCUAUCCCCACUCACCCGUGUUGGUGUUUAGUUUCAUGUUUAAUUACUAAGUUUUAAGUUCCAUUAAUUAUUAUCCUUUAGUUCGUCUAUGUCAUGGAGCUCAUAAAAUAACCAAAUAACCAUUUAUCUUAAUUCAACAUUAUUCAUUUCAUAAUAUUCGAGCUCAUAUUUCAGGAUAAUAAUUAAGCUAAUUAUUCAUUUAUAGUUAGUUAAGCAAGAUGGUAGAGGGGAGCUAUGCCUUCACUGUUGACUUCUUUUGACACAAUCUCGUAGUUAGGGUCCUUGCUUUCCCGGUAGUCACCAUCGUCUAUUAGCAUAGCUAUCGAAUAAUACUACUUCUAACCCAAAAGAAAAGAAGACAAGAAAACAUAGAACAAUAUGGUUGCACUAGCAUGAAUGCAUACAGCUAGAUUUUAGGUGGAUUUUAGAAGUGGUUUCACCUAAUAAGAAUGAAGCUAGGAUGCAAAAGUUAUGCAUUCUAUAGGUGUGCCUUGAACACCUAUAUAAACACUUGCACAAUUUUGAGUAUCAAGAGGAGUGCCUUGGAUCGCGCCGAGACGAACAGCUGCAGGGGCGCCCGUGGUCAUCGAUAUCCCUUAUUAGCUUGUUGUUACGGUACGCAAAGCAAAGCUCGCUCGUCCUCUCCUAUCCAUAAUCUCCCCGGCCGGUGUGCAUGCAUGCGCGCGUGACCAUAAUAUAAAUACGAGCUCCGGCCGCCUGCUCAUUCAUAUUCAUCGCAUCGCAGUUACAUUACAUACCAUCCACCAAACGAUCGAAGGAAGAUGGGAGUGAACAUGAUGUCGUGGUCGAUGCAGGUGGCGUUGGUGGUGGCGCUGGCGUUUCUGGUGGGCGGCGCAUGGUGCGGUCCUCCCAAGGUUGCCCCGGGCAAGAACAUCACGGCCACCUACGGCAGCGACUGGCUGGAAGCGAAGGCAACAUGGUACGGUAAGCCAACAGGCGCCGGCCCCGACGACAACGGCGGCGCAUGUGGUUACAAGGAUGUGAACAAGGCCCCCUUCAACAGCAUGGGCGCGUGCGGCAACCUCCCCAUCUUCAAGGACGGCCUCGGCUGCGGCUCCUGCUUUGAGAUCAAGUGUGACAAGCCGGCCGAGUGCUCCGGCGAGGCCGUGGUGGUGCACAUCACGGACAUGAACUACGAGCAAAUCGCCGCCUACCACUUCGACCUGGCCGGCACGGCGUUCGGCGCCAUGGCCAAGAAGGGCGAGGAGGAGAAGCUGCGCAAGGCGGGCAUCAUCGACAUGAAGUUCCGCCGGGUCAAGUGCAAGUACGGCGAAAAGGUCACCUUCCACGUGGAGAAGGGGAGCAACCCCAACUACCUGGCUCUGUUGGUCAAGUACGUCGACGGCGACGGUGACGU
rnacentral:lncRNA from 1 species